rnacentral:ncRNA from 1 species
AAUCCUAUUUGAAAAUACUAUAGCCAAGUAAUUCAAUAUCGAGUUUUGGGUAGGUAGCAGUAAUGCUACCUACUAAGCGUAAAUAGAAAGGUAUUAGGGUAAAUAAUUCAGCUCCGUAAAAUUGUGAAAAAUCAGAAGGUUGACGACUUCACACUAUCGGAAAACAAUAUGUUGUUAAACAAUAUAGGCGAGUUUAACAAUGCUUCUGCGGAGUCAGAGAGC